ACCUAAUAGAUACCCUGGUAGUCCACGCCCUAAACGAUGCGAACUGGAUGUUGGGUACAUUACGGUACUCAGUGUCGAAAGCUAAACGCGUUAAGUUCGCCGCCUGGGGAGUACGGUCGCAAGACUGAAACUCAAAGGAAUUGACGGGGGCCCGCACAAGCGGUGGAGUAUGUGGUUUAAUUCGAUGCAACGCGAAGAACCUUACCUGGCCUUGACAUCUGUCGAAUCCUGCAGAGAUGCGGGAGUGCCGCAAGGAACGACAAGACAGGUGCUGCAUGGCUGUCGUCAGCUCGUGUCGUGAGAUGUUGGGUUAAGUCCCGCAACGAGCGCAACCCUUGUCCCUAGUUGCCAACACGUAAUGGUGGGAACUCUAGGGAGACUGCCGGUGACAAACC
rnacentral:rRNA from 1 species